rnacentral:rRNA from 1 species
CCUACGGGAGGCAGCAGUGAGGAAUAUUGGUCAAUGGGCGCGAGCCUGAACCAGCCAAGGAGCGUGAAGGAGGACGGCCCUACGGGUGGUAAACUGCGGUUAUAAAGGAAUAAAGUGAGGCACGUGUGCCUUUUUGUAUGUACCUUAUGAAUAAGGAUCGGCUAACUCCGUGCCAGCAGCCGCGGUAAUACGGAGGAUCCGAGCGUUAUCCGGAUUUAGUGGGUUUAAAGGGAGCGUAGAUGGGUUGUUAAGUCAGUUGUGAAAGUUUGCGGCUCCACCGUAAAAUUGCAAUUGAUACUGGCAGUCUUGAGUACAGUUGAGGUAGGCGGAAUUCAUGGUGUAGCGGUGAAAUGCUUAGAUCUCACGAAGAACUCCGAUUGCGAAGGCAGCUUACUAAACUGCCACUGACAUUGCUGCUCGAAAGUGUGGGUAUCAAACAGGAUUAGCUACCCGUGUAGUC